rnacentral:rRNA from 1 species
AGUGAACGCUGGCGGUAGGCCUAACACAUGCAAGUCGAACGGCAGCACAGUAAUAGCUUGCUCUUACGGGUGGCGAGUGGCGGACGGGUGCUGAAUACAUCGGAAUCUACUUUUUCGUGGGGGAUAACGUAGGGGAACUUACGCUAAUACCGCAUACGACCUACGGGUGGAAGCAGGGGAUCUUCGGACCUUGCGCGAUUGAAUGAGCCGAUGUCGGAUUAGCUAGUUGGCGGGGUAAAGGCCCACCAAGGCGACGAUCCGUAGCUGGUCUGAGAGGAUGAUCAGCCACACUGGAACUGAGACACGGUCCAGACUCCUACGGGAGGCAGCAGUGGGGAAUAUUGGACAAUGGGCGCAAGCCUGAUCCAGCCAUACCGCGUGGGUGAAGAAGGCCUUCGGGUUGUAAAGCCCUUUUGGUGGGGAAGAAAAGCAGCAGGUUAAUACCUCGCUGUUCUGACGGUACCCAAAGAAUAAGCACCGGCUAACUUCGUG